rnacentral:rRNA from 1 species
GACGAACGCUGGCGGCGUGCUUAACACAUGCAAGUCGAACGAAGUGGCGAACGGGUGAGUAACGCGUAAUCAACCUGCCCUUCAGAGGGGGACAACAGUUGGAAACGACUGCUAAUACCGCAUACUGAAGGAGGGGUUUGCGAUUGAUUAGCUCGCUGGAGGGGUAACGGCCCACCAAGGCGAUGAUCAGUAGCCGGUCUGAGAGGAGUAACGGCCACAUUGGGCAUGAGAAACGGCCCCGAAUCCUAAGGGAGGCAGCAGGGGGGAAUCGUCCGACAUGGACGAAAGUCUGACGGAGCAACGCCGCGUGAGUGAUGACGGCCUUCGGGUUGUAAAGCUCUGUUAAUCGGGACGCGGUACCGGAAUAGAAAGCCACGGCUAACUACGUGCCAGCAGCCGCGGUAAUAC